GCUGGGCACAGAGGGGCUAUUUGUAGUUUGAUAGUCUCUGCUGAAUUAUUGAUGCCUCAGGACCUCCCCCUUGUUAACAAAUCGCCCUCUGCAUGAAAAUUUAAAGAGGCAAAUGAGGGCAAUCUCUCAACCCAUUAUUCCUUCUUCUUUUGCCAUCUGAGCUCUAAUUUUAAGUCAAUCGGCCCAGAAGUACUCUCUUGGGAGAUGGCACAGCUCAGACACCCCGACCCUGGGCCAGCAAAAUCCGUGUGUGAGAGCAGCAUCUGAGUUCUGAACCGUCCACGGAGUUAUGGUGCCUCUGACCAGGUGAUCACUGGCCACCUCAGUGUCACUGAACCAGGAAGUACCGCAUCUCAAAUACAGAAGAAGAUGAAAAGUUUCAGAACGUAGCCUAGGUUUGGCAUUUGGAUGCCUGGGAUGGCCUAGGAAAUAGUGGCUGCUGGAGUGGCCACAAGGACUGCUGCCAUCUAUACAAUCCUGGGGAAUGCUGAGGUGCAUGAUGGGAAUAUGACAGACAAGAUAGACUGGCAUGUGGACACCUUUGUCCUGGCACUUAUGACUAAUUCUUUAAUUGAUUCCUUUCUGACUUGCAUUCUUUUUCUGAGGCCACAUCCAGGAAAUGUCCUUGAAAAGAUUUUGCAUUGUGCCUGAAGUGAACUCAGAUCUCAGAAGAUGGCGUCCCUGCUGUCUAUAGGUUCCUGAAGACCCCUGCUGAGUUUAGUCCUGAUGACAGCCUGAAUUUUCCUUUCUAACAAAAUGUGGUCUGCAUUGAGAGAACCAGUCACCCGCAGGCAUAAAACAGAGAACUAGUGUGACAACAGGCCUGUUCUGUUUCAGAAAUUCCAAAGUGCACCUCUUUGUCUUCUUUUUAACUCAUGCAAACCAUUUUGCUUUCAUGGUCCACACACAUCUCAAGGUUGUGCACACUCCUAAUCAACAAUGCGCAGGGCUGUCUCUAAAAGAACACAGCAGACUUCAACGUCAAUGCCUUUGGUCCAUAAACACCCCCACCCCUUCCCCCCCCACACACACAUACACACAUGACUGUGAUCUUUGAACUUGGAAGGUAGAGGCAGGAGUAUUAGAAAGCUCUCCUUGGCUGUGUGGUAAGUUUAAAGCAAACCCAGGCUACAUGAAACAUAGUCUCAAAAUAAUUACUGAUAAAGACAAAUUUGUUAUGUUCAGGUACCUUGAGCUUGAACAGAGGCUGGCCCAGAGGAUCCCUGGAGUUUUUAAUGUUCUGCGUGUCCUGCCUUCAAAGGUUAUGCUUCAGCCUUAGGCUGGCUUUCCUCACAGAUUCACCAUGAUUCUAGCAAUUCUGGGUCUCACCCCAUCAUGCAGGAGAGAAGCUUUCUUUUCUGAGCAUUUCAGUCCAGGUCACGGAGCUAUGGCUGAAUCUCCGUCAGUGGCUAGACAGCAGGCUGUGCUAACUGACUUUAACCAACCAGAGCCCUGUCUGGAGCUAUGUGCAGCUCAUCUUUCACUGAUGUUUCCAGAAUGAGGCAUUAGGUGAUGAUGAAUGUCUGGAGAACAAUUUGGGAUAGUGUUGAGAAAGGUGAAGGGGAGAGGGCUAUUUCUUUAAUUAGUGGGAGAGUCUAACAGACCCAUUGUGGUCAGUCCCGAUGCCUUUUGAUCAUACCCCAUGACCCAAGGCCAGUCUUUCCACAUGCUGAGCUUCUCCCAGACGCCUCUUCCUGCUUAUGUGGAGCAUCGUCCCAUCUCUCUCCAUCUCUGCCUUCUCUCCAUCUUUCCCUUUUUGCUUUCUCAUGUCCUGAGAUUCUGUCUCAGUUUGAGCCACGCAGACCCUUUCACCCACUUUGGCUGGGUUAUUCUCAUCUCCUUAAUCAAGCCCUCCCAACAAGUUUUCCCUGGCCACCUGAUCCCCCCCCGCUGCCCCCGCCGCAUUCCCACCACCUGAUCAUCCCCUUUCCCUGUGACACUCCCACUGCCAUGCUUCCAUUCUCACUCACCCGUGGAAU